GCUCCAGUGGCGCAAUCGGUUAGCGCGCGGUACUUAUAAUGCCGAGGUUGUGAGUUCGAUCCUCACCUGGAGCA